rnacentral:rRNA from 1 species
UGGGGAAUCUUGCGCAAUGGGCGAAAGCCUGACGCAGCGACGCCGCGUGAGUGAUGAAGGCCUUCGGGUUGUAAAGCUCUGUGGGGCGAGACGAAUAAGUGCAGCCUAAUACGUUGCAUGAUGACGGUAUCGCCUUAGCAAGCACCGGCUAACUCUGUGCCAGCAGCCGCGGUAAGACAGAGGGUGCAAACGUUGUUCGGAAUUACUGGGCGUAAAGCGAGUGUAGGCGGUUCACUAAGUCGGGUGUGAAAGCCCCGGGCUCAACCCGGGAAGUGCACUCGAAACUGGCGAGCUAGAGUAUCGGAGAGGUUGGUGGAAUUCUCGGUGUAGAGGUGAAAUUCGUAGAUAUCGAGAGGAACACCGGCGGCGAAGGCGGCCAACUGGACGAAUACUGACGCUGAGACUCGAAAGCGCGGGGAGCAAAC